rnacentral:lncRNA from 1 species
UAGUUAUGAUUAAAAAGCACUAAACUCUUCCUCUUUGUGUGUCUCAAUGACAACAUCAGACGUAGGAUAAGCAACACAAGUGAGAACCCAACCUUCCGCUAUCUGGUCUUCAUCAAGGAAGCUACCAUCAGACUGAUCCACAGUCCCUUGCACAACCUUGCCAGCACAUGAAGAGCAAGCUCCAGCCCUGCAUGAGUAUGGGAGGUCCAUUCCAUGCGCCUCCUCAGCAUGGUCGAGGAUGUAGACGUUGGUGGGGCAAUCAAACUCCUCCUCACCGUCAGGAGUGAUGAGCUUCACCUUGUGCGCUGCCAUUGCUUUAGCACGUCCUCCUCGACUGGCUUUUAAGCCAAAAAGCGCCUCCCCCACGGCGGGAAGAGCCCGUAGGCUUGUUACUGGCUUUUGUUUAGCAAACGAGGUGCUAACCAUGGCGCUGGUACUGAGGGCUGCUGCGGUUGCCAUUCUUCUUCAAUCCAGUCUUACAGACAAGGCUUUCGGAUA